UUCACUCUCCCACCAAAAUAUUUCCCUCUCCCUCCAAUCUGUAAUUAUCCAAAAAUAAUUAAGAAAUGUAACCAAUUUACACUCUCAGAUAUACACUCUCUCACAAAAUCCUUUUCCAAAUAUAUCUAUUAUUUUCUAUCCAUUUACACAAAACCCUAUGCCCAAAUUUCUUCAAAUCCAUCGAAUGCAUCAAAGUUCUUCGAAUUGCAUUGCCCAAAAUAGUCAAAUUUUGUCCAGCAUAUUCCUUGUGCUCUGCUACUAGUAUGUCUAUGAUAACUCAAAGGAAAGAGUCCUGUUUCUGCUAGAAAAGGAUAGAGAGGGAACUGAAAUUUGUUGUUUGUUUUGCUCCAAGAACAUUUAGAUUUUAAAUUAGAAAAUGACUGAAACUUGGUACAACUUCAGGUUAUGGUUCUGUUAUUCCCAAUCCUGAAGUAGAUGAAUCACACCCUUUAACUAGGGCCCAGGGUGAAAAGGUUGGACAUUAUGUGGCGCAAUAUGUAGAAGCCAUGGAGAAGGUUAAAUUAAAGCAAGGCUUGAAGAUUGCGAUGUCCAUUUCUGGAGAAGGAAAUGGUUAUUUGCAAGAGAGCCAAUUUUGGAAACUUUUGAAGGAAGAUAGACCUUUGUGUUCCAUAGUGAUGAGCACUGCUUCCGGCAUAGUAUAUCUUCUUGCAUGUCUUUUAGAUCCAUUUAUACCAUUCUUUUCACGAGAGGUGGUGUUCUCGCGUCUUGGGGCGAAGAUCCUUCUGAGUCAGUAUCUUCCUUUCAGAUUAGUGUUGGACUUGAUGGAACAUCAAACAAGAAAGUAAAACUACCCAAGAAUUUCACUCUGCUUGGUCCUGGACCAGGCUACAUAAACAAGGGUUGCAAAAAUAUGCAGGCAAGUUGCACAAAGUUCAACCAUGUUAAUGUUGAUACUAUCAAUAUAUAACUUGUUUUAUCUUGUGCAAUCUUUUCAGUAUACUUUCCAGACUUCAGUAUUAUGAUAUACCAUUGGUCAGUCAUUCUCUGAGUAAAACUCUUGAUGGCUUCUCUUUAUCAAUUUUUUUAAGGUUUCUCUUUGGGUGCUACUAUUUCUGAAUCUUUUUUGGUGAUUUUGCAAUUUCAUUUCAUAUUGUUAACGACAAAUAGAUAUUACUGCUUCUUCUAGCAUUGCAAUCUGAUAUGUUACUGAUGACAUGGUAGCUAUGCACUAGCUGGUUGAUAUUGAUACUAAAGAUAUCCUUUUUAUCUGCGGUGGAGCUUUUGUUGGUUUAGAGAAGACAAUUUUAGAAAGAUUAUUCAAUUGGAUUUGGAGCACCUGUUCGGACCAACAUGAGAAUUAUUACACAGAUGUAGCUGGUAGCAGGUUGGUCGAAACCGAUAUGCAUUGGCAGACAUUCUUUUGGUGAUCAAUAUCGAGCUACUCAUACACUAAUUCAAGGAGCUGGAAAGCUCAAAUUAGUAUUUGGUAAAGUUUUUGCCGAUCUGUAUGAUUUGCAAGUUCCGAUGUAUAUUUAUUUGUUCUACUUUAGUUUGUCUUUGAGUAAAUUGUUUCAAGUUCUUUAACACCUUUUGGUUAUUCUGUUUUAAAAAUGCCGCUGAGAUAUUCUGUUGAACCUGAUUGCAGUACCAGAAGGGAAGGAUCAAAACACCGAGUUCUUAUUCGUAGUAUCUCGCGUUCUGAAGUUACUACUUUGUGCUGUUGUUAUAAUUCACGUGUUACUAAACCUUACAGGGUAGCUCGACAUCAAUAUGUGAACACUGAAGAGUUCAUUGACGUUGUGGCUGAUGAGCUCAAAGCUAGACUUCUGAAAUCAAAGAUUUAAGUGUGUUUCUCUAAUCGCAAACUUUCGUUUUCUUAUCGAGAUUUAUUGUUUUGAAUUGUUGAAACUACUUUUAUUACCUGAAAAGUCCGUCAUAACUGCUCAAUACCUCGUGUUCUCACCAGUCUUGUCUCAUUAGUAUUCAUGACUAUUACCAUAUUACACACUCGUACACCAACAUUCCAGCUAUGUUGCUCGAACUCUUCACAAAUGUUAUCUUGACUGUGUUGGAUCCUCUAAAUAUUCACUAUUUUUGAAGGAUUUGAAAUGCACCUGUAGGCAAUUUUAAAAAGUUCGAUCAACAUAGCUUUUCGGAACUUGAUUUUCAACUCUACUAACUCUAAAAGACUUCUGAUCCACCCUCAUGCCUUUUAUUAUUUUCGGAUAAAAUCAUAUUUAGUUACGCUUUUUAUGCAGGUACGAUCACUAAUGGUAUCAGUUAUCCUAAAUGUCAGAUACUUUGUUUAGCUGAGUUGAUUUACAUGCAAAGUUAAACAGCAAGUUGCUAAGCAUCUUGGUCAAUUUCGUUAAUAGAGUCAGUUUCAUCGCUUAAGAUCUGGGUUCUUAAGCAGCUUGACUUUCCUCCUGAAACACACUGUUUGAUGAAAGAGACAUAGAAAAAAGCAGAGCACCAUGGCAUAUUCUAGCUGCAGGUCACAAAAUUGAAAUUACAGCACCAUUGUUCAAGGGGCUGGUAAUGCCUUGGAGACUAUCGUGACAAAAUGAAGAAUAAUUUUGGAUCUAAAUCGCUCAAAUUCACAAGGCAUCUAUGAACCAUUAUAUGAAAGUAUGCAUGACAACUCCAGCUGCCUAUAAAGUAUCAUCAGGCUUCAGUGUAUAAGCAGAGUAGUGCUGGAAAGAAGAUGUUUAUUAAUGAAGCAGAAAGCAUAUUAAAUAGAGUUACAGAUAAACUAAGAUGAGUCCUAAACUAACUAAACUAGAUCGGUCCUAAAUAAAUAAAAUUGCUGAAAGAUAUAUUGUGAUUA